rnacentral:rRNA from 1 species
GACGAACGCUGGCGGCGUGCCUAACACAUGCAAGUCGAACGAGAUCCAUGGGAGCUUGCUCCCGGAAGAUCUAGUGGCGAACGGGUGAGUAACACGUGAGAAACCUGCCCUGGAGUGGGGAAUAACUCGGGGAAACUCGAGCUAAUACCGCAUACCCUCGGAUGGUCGCAUGGCCGACCGAGGAAAGAUUUAUCGCUCUAGGAGGGUCUCGCGGCCUAUCAGCUAGUUGGUGGGGUAACGGCCUACCAAGGCAACGACGGGUAGCUGGUUUGAGAGAACGAUCAGCCACACUGGGACUGAGACACGGCCCAGACUCCUACGGGAGGCAGCAGUGGGGAAUCUUGCGCAAUGGGCGAAAGCCUGACGCAGCAACGCCGCGUGCGGGAUGACGGCCUCGUGGUUGUAAACCGCUUUC